CUGGGUGCCGGCUGGUUGUGCGCCUGUGCGCCGCGCGGUCCUUGGGGCGUGCUGUCUUAGUCCCCGUGGCUGUUGUGCUGCUGAGGGCCAGUGGUGAUGUCAGUGUCUUAUCUCCUCUUGCCCCAACUGGCCCCGCCGCCCAUGGGCGGUCUGCAGCCUCUUAUUUGGGAUUUGCUGGUGAACGUGCUGCUGCAGAUGCCUCAAGCCUACUUGGACAGAGGGUUGGCUGGAGUUCAGAGAUUCAGCUUUUUGGGGCAACUCUUCAUUCCUGCUAUGGAGCAGGUCACACCCCAGGAGGGUCUGCAAAGGUCUGCAGAGUGAGCUGAGCCUGAGUCAUCCAGGGGCUACCAGGAUACCCUGACUGCCCACCCUGAAGCUCACCCCAAAAGCAACAACAGGUUUCGCAUCUUAUCACGAGUCUGUUUCCAGGAAUGAACAAAGUGUGACAGAUGAUUCUGUGCCCAACACAGGCCAUGUAUCUUGUGAGUGAGGCAUUUACAUCGAUUACCCCCUGUCGAUCUCCCAACCAACCACCUGAGUAGGAGCAACAAAACAGCACUGCUUUCUGACAAUCCCUGGAGCAUCCCCUGCACCAGAAGCAGCUGCACCCAGACGGAGCUCUGAACUGGAGCAGAGCAGAUGACCACAGUAUCAGGUGAUGUGGGGUUACAGAAGGCACACCGGGUUGAGCACCUGUGCUACAAUAUCAGAUGCUGUGUGCUUCUAGUUCCCAGGUGAGAGCCCCACAAUCAGAAAGCCAGCCUUCUGAAGAGGGGCUGUUCAUACACAAGGAGGGAUAAAGCUGGGAAGCCCGUGAAGAGAAAGAAAAAAGGCUCUAGCGGAUGGAUAGAGACACCUAAGGGAUGUCUAAGUCUUUGCC